rnacentral:rRNA from 1 species
UACAGAGGGUGCAAGCGUUAAUCGGAAUUACUGGGCGUAAAGGGUGCGUAGGCGGGUCUUUAAGUCAGGGGUGAAAUCCUGGAGCUCAACUCCAGAACUGCCUUUGAUACUGAAGAUCUUGAGUUCGGGAGAGGUGAGUGGAACUGCGAGUGUAGAGGUGAAAUUCGUAGAUAUUCGCAAGAACACCAGUGGCGAAGGCGGCUCACUGGCCCGAUACUGACGCUGAGGCACGAAAGCGUGGGGAGCAAACAGG